rnacentral:lncRNA from 1 species
GUUCAGAGAUGCAGCUGAGUCGCAUGCAGUGCUGUGGCUGGUGGCUGUCUCCAGAACCUGUCCUGUGUCAUCAGGUGGUGGCUACCACGUGUAGGGAACUAUGGCAGUGGUUACAGUGUCCCAAGAUGGAGGCAAUCGGGGAGCUCUACGUUGGCAGAUGAGGGUGCACAUGAGAAUGGUGGCCAGAGGUUCUGCGUGUGGGCAGCUCCCUGGUAUCCUGCAUGGAUAGGAGGUCAGGAUUCCUGUGCAGGUGGGUGGCCACGGUUCCUGUGUGGGUGCUGAGGACUGGAGACCUGCAUGGGCACAGUGGCCAGGGUUCCUGUAUGGGAGCAGCUGUCGGGGUCCUCUAGUAACUCACAGAGAAACAGUAUUCCCACUACUAGAAUCCCUGAUCAUGGAGCAAUACAGAAUGCAGCCUCUCUCCAGGCUGCCAUCUUGGAUCCCCCUAACAAAAGUUUAAGGCAUAAAUCAUAAAUGUAUGUAAAUAUUUUUAAGAUUAGACUUAGAUUUGUGUGAAUUAUAGUAACAUAUUUUCUUUGAAAAGAAAUCAUCAAUUCUGGAUUUUACAUACAGAAUAGCACCAAAGAAAACAUGUAAAAAGUCAGGAGAAUUAUACUUUUCAGAGUACAAAUGGACUGGGCAGGUUGGUGUUCCCAGGAAUAAGGGAGGCUGAGACAGGGGGAUCUAGAGUCCAAAGCCAGCCUCAUAAACAGAGUCACUAAGCAACUCAGUGAGAAACUGUCUCUAAAUAAAUACAAAAUAGGGCUAGGGAUGUAGCUCAGUGAUCAAGUGACCCUGAGUUCAAUCCCCAGUACCAGAAAAAAAUAAAUAAAUAAAUAAAAGAGUGCAAAUGAGCAAGGAAAUACUUAUUACUUGAGCCACCUCAUGGGAUGCCUCAAUAUUUACCACCAUGGGAGUAUUUUUCUGCCUAGAAACAACAUAGGCAACUGUUUAGCUCUGGUUGACAGACACAAUGUGACCUAGCAACACUGGACAGGAAAUGUUCCCACUAGAAGCAAACUUAUUUCCAAUCUUCUUCUUAUUUAUUUAUUUUCUUUGUUUGUUCUUUUUAGUUAUACAUGUCAGUAGAGUGUGGUUUGACAUAUUUAUACAAACAUGGAGUACAUCAUAUUCUAAUUAGGAUCCCAGCAUGUAGUUGUACAGAUGUAGAGAUUCUCUGUGGUGUAUUUCAGAUCUCCUUUUGCAAAUCAUUUUGUCUAAGGUCCCUCCUCCCCAACAAAUUAACAAACAAACAAGCAACAAAGGUGAAUAACAUUGAAGCCUCUGAUGCUUGCACUACUGGAUGCAAAUUAAAAAUAGAGUGAAUUAAUAUUUAUUUAUCUAAAAAAGGGUGUGUGAACAUAAAACGAGAAGCCAACAACAUGCAUUUCUCAUGAGAAUAUUUUGCUUUGUUAGGCACGUGAGAAAUAUUGAAUUUGAGCUUGACAUAAGCAGAUAAUUACUUUUAUUUUCCUUUUUCUAAUUUUUUUAUGCAGAAGAUAUUUUUUCUUUAUUUUCCCACGAUAUUAAAAGUUUGCUCCUUUCAAAGGAUGCUAUCCAUUUUUGUUACGGUCAGAAUAUUUCGUAUCUCUUUAUAUCAGUAAUCCUUAUCUCAAAGGAAUAUGCUUGCCUUCUGUAUGAUUUCAGCUUGUAGAACUUCCUUACCAAGUACUAUUUGAACUCUACCUUUCUCUGCUCUUAUUUUGCAGGAAUUCUUUCUUACAAUAGUUUUGGUCUCCACUCUUGGUCAAAAGAUGCAUCUUCCUAGUUAUAACAUGCAGUGUCCCUGUCAUUAGUGUUCUAUGGUUGAGUCCAAGUGCACUGCAAGCAAUGCCUAUUUUUUUCACAGAUCCUGGAUUCAUCAUUUGUUUGGUAGCACUUUGAUGGGAAGAAGGUGGCUUGGGCUGUGAGAGGACAUGAUGAUGUGGCCUGUGGUGAGUAUGUGUUGAAAUCAUCAGGAUUAAAUAAAAAUAUCAGUUAAAAUAUUUUGAGUUAAAGAAAAAUAUUUACAAAUUAUUUUUACCAUUUUAAUGUUGUUACUAGAAAGUUUUAAAUUACAUUUGUGACAUGCACUAGACUUUUGUUAGAAUUCUGAUCUAUAGUUUCUGUAUAUUUUCUAUUGCUAUUGUAAGUUUCUGCUGGUUCUCGUUCAUAUUGUUAUAUAUGCUUGAUUAUCAUGGUCUCAGUGAGGUAUAUGCUGUAUUAAAAGUUGCCAUUGAAAGAAUUUGAAGUUUAUGUAUUUCCUUCCUCCAGAACCACUCUAAUUUGCUUCAUGACCAUAAGUCCAGAAUUACUUAUUUCCAUUUCAGGAGUUAAGAUAUUUGGGGCCAUGCAGAAACCUUGCAGCUGGACUGCAGUCUGUCUGAAGACUGGUUUUCCUCCAGUUCACCCUUCCUCUGAGGAUCCAGUUCUUCAGCAAGGAAUUUAUUUUGGUCCCUGCUUUUGGCAGGUCGUGAACUUCAAUAUCUUCUUGCUUUGCCCCAGAAAGCUAUCCAAACCUGCAUGAGUCACUAAGGGAGGUGCCCGUUUGCUGAUCAAAAGACCGCUGACAUCAUAACCAUACCAAUCUAUCACAACUAGGAAGCCAUCAUGUUAGGCUAGGAAACCACCAUAAUCAGUAUCUCACCACAAUAGCCACAGCUCUAUUGCUGGCUCUGGAAUCACACUGAGCCUGUAAGUAUCUGUACCCUCAGAAUGGAUGCCACAGGCCCUGCUCUCAAUCCUUUCAAGCCAGUGACCACAGCCCAGGACCUCUGUUAAUCGGACAGCAAAGAAACCAUUGUGGCAGCAGGAACAACAGAUGUCUGGCCUCUGCUCCAGUUCUGCCACAUUUGAUUGACAGAAUCUAAAGGCACCUCCAGGAGUUAGGUUGCAAAGGAGUCUGGGAAAUGUAGCAUCUAGCUCUUAUGGUUCCUGUGGUAGAGAAGGUACAGUAGAAAGAAGAAACAAUGAGUGUCCUGCUUCUGUUCCCCCUGUGUACUCUGCAGCUGAAAUGCCAUUUUAGUUAUUGUUUGAAAAUCUACAAAAAUAAUGUUAUAUCUUGCUUAUUGAUUCAUAAUAUAUACCUAGGUACAGUAUAUCCAUACAGCUUUACCUGUAUAUCUCCAUACACAGUUCCCAAAAAUACAGUAAGAUCAGUAGUGAUUUGAAACAUGGGUUCCAGACUCAGCCUGGAUUUCAAGACCUGUGUCUGUGAGUGAUGUGGGUGCCCAUGUUUCCUCAAUCUCUCUCCCAGAUAUUUUAUUUCCCUAUUUAUAAAAUAGGUGUAAGGAGAGUCUACCUUGAAAUACUGUUGCACAUUUCAAUUAAAAUAGUGCAUACAGUAGUCUAAGUGUAGUGCCUGGCUCAUCAUACCAAGAAGUAAACUGCAGCAGAAGAUCUAUUGGUAAAACCAAUGCAUAUCAUCUUGACAGGUCACUUAAUUUUCUUUGGGUCAUUUUUUGUUCUAUUAAAAGACAAUUUAUUUCAUUAAUCUGGGCAAGACAAAUUAGGACCACAAGGAGAAAACAUUAAGAAUCACUAGAUUGGCAAAAUAUGCCGAAAUUGGGCCCUAUUAAGUGCUGGCAAAGUCUGUGCUGGAAGAACACAAACUCAUAUAAUACAGAAGCAAAUGCCAUUAAUAAAUGUACCUUGGAAGACAAUUUAGAUUUUUUUUUCAAUAAACUGAAAUGCACAUAUCUCACAACUUCAGUUACACUUCUAGUUACCUAUGUACGAGAAAUUUCUAUGAAGAAAAAUAUUCUAUAUUUUUAAGUUAUGUGCUGUAGUUAUUCAUCUUAUGUUUUUAUUUCUGAUUAAUGUUAUUCUGAAAAAUGUUAUAUUCAUUUGGUACACAAUUAAAUUUUUAUAAUGAACUAAGACACAUACCCAAAAGUUUUCAAAAAGAAUUCUUACCAUCGUAUUUAAACAGUAUAAUAAAAAAUAUUGUUUGAUUCAGAAGUGAGACUAUUUCCAGUGGACAUGGGGACUGGAGAUAAAGCUCAGUGGCACAGCACUGGCCUAGCAUGCACCAGUACUAUAGUUUAAAUCUAGAAUGUACCCCAAAGCCCCUGGGUUAAAGACUUGGCCCUAGUGUGGCACUGUUAGGACUUGGGGGAAACUUUAAGAUGGGGGGAUGCCUCGGGGGAGCUACUGAGCGUUCUGUACUCCUACCAUGGUACGCUGCCUUGCCCACAGGCCCCAAAAGCAAUGAAACCUCCUAAACUGGGAGCCUUAUAUAUUAAUUCUCUUAAUAUUUUGUCUCAGUGAUAGAAAGAUAGAAAGCUGACUAAGAGAGUAAGGGCAGAGGUUUGAUGUACACAAAACCAAAAACAAGCAAAAAACCUGACCUGUAUGGCACAAGUAGACAGUUUAAAUUAUGUAGAUUGACUUGUCUUGCUCCUCUCACUGACCAAGUCUGACCAAAAGGUGAAAGGCAAGAAAGUAAUACUAAUUCUUCUUUUUCAAGAGUCUCUCUCUGUGAGCUUAUAGUAAAAUGCUUUUCCUAAAAUUAUUUCUAGGUGGUUGUGGGAAUUUGUAGAUCUUCCAGUACAGUUUUUCCUACUUUUUUUGCCUAUUAGUCAAGUUUGUGGUUUACUGAUGAUGAAAUUUUGCUCUGGUUCCUCACACAUUUUAAGCUUUCAAAAUGACUAACAGCAACAAGUAAGAAAUUAAAUAUUUACAUGAAAAUACCUAUUGUUGGUACCAAUGCAAAAAUUUUAUGAGCAAAAACCAAAAUAUUAAUCUAAAAAUCUUUCUUUUUUUUUGGUGGGGGUGCUACUAGGGAUUGAUCUUAGGGGCACUUGACCACUGAGUCAUAUCCCCAGUCCUAUUUUGUAUUUAUUUAGAAAUAGGGUCUCACUGAGUUGCUUAGCAUCUUGCUGUUGCUGAGGCUGGCUUUGAACUCCUGAUUCUCCUAUCUCAGCCUCCUGAGCUGCUGGGAUUAUGGCUGUGCCUCACUGGGCCCAGCCUAAUCUUGAUCUUGGCAUUUUAGAUUUGACUUAGUACUUAACAAAUAGCAUUACAUACAUUAAUUAAA